GUUUGGCUUUGGUUGUCGUUAGUUUUGUUCGCCUUCCGUUAAAUAGUGUCAAUAGUUUUGUAACCCUUGCCUCUCCGAUUAGUCCAAGUACAUGGACAUGCAUGAAUGCGAGUGUAUCGGCAUGCAUGCAUCAAAUAAGGAAAGGGGAAGUGAUUUGUGCGCGGCAAUUUUGGGUCGCUGUCAUCGCAGCCGAGAGGGCUUUGAACUCGUGACGUUGCGCGUACUCGAUCAACGGCUCGUCUCGGCAAGCAUCAGCAGCGCACCCCAAAUCCCACCCCGUUUGCGUUGUAUGAGCGCAUGUGAAAAGUGUAACAAAAACAAAGUGCGGCCCAUUAUCGUGUGAUCCCCCCCUGAUAACCGACGCCACUGGCCGACUGCGACAAUCAGUUAUUGGCCCGCCGUGUGGAGCUUCUCCAAUGAGCAUUGAACUGCGAACUGCACAAACGUGCGCAUUUGGCAGACAAACAUGAGAAAUGGUGCUGCCAAAUUAACUGGCCAUGUUGAGUUCUCUGCGUUCGCCGAUUACCGUUAUUGUUGCUGCUGAGUGUCUGCCCAUUAUUAAUUAUGAUUCGGGGAGGAAAAUGCAAAUAAGAAAUAAUGAUGACUAAUCCAAAUAAAUUCAAACGAAACCGAGCUUCAUUCAGAUACGUUGAGAAAGGUUUAAAAAACCUGGUUAAGGGAAAACAUCAAAGAGCAAAAAAAAAACAAGAUGUUACCCUGAUUAUUGCAUAGUUGAGUCGAGCAGCACGUGUAAAAUUAUAUUUUGGAGUGAUUUAAGCAUCAAACAAUGCUUAAAUUAUAUCAAGAGACUUUUUGUUGGAAACUGGCUCGAAACUGUUUUAUAAUAAAGGAUCUGGAAUGAGACAUAAGGAUCGGGUAUGAUUUUUACAGAACUGGCGAAACUCUCUUCAUCAUCGGAAGUCUGAAAGACCAUUUCCCAGAAAAACUUCCCACUCACACACUCUUAGCAAAGCCAAUAAGAAGUUAUUUAUAAUAAAUUAUUUGAGUAUAAAUCUAUGUCAAUAGAAUUUCUGAGAUUAUAGCUACUUCCACUAGCGACAAGUUGUAAAUAAAG
rnacentral:misc_RNA from 1 species